rnacentral:misc_RNA from 1 species
CUGUCUGCACUUCCUGGCGAUCCUCUGUUCCAUUUCCUUCCUUUGAUGAAGAUAUUCCUCCUCUCAUCCUUAAACUUCCUAUGCCCAUCGGCGUCGAUGCCGUUCUUUCUCAGGCCACCAUUUGCAGAAUGGAAUUUUCCCGUCAGAAUAAAAAUUCUUUUUCUUCCGAAUCAAAGCCCAAGGCCUGGUUAACUAAAAUUGGAGAGACAAAACUGGGUAAAUUGAAGUUUUUUCAUCCACUCUCAAAUUCCCAAGUCAGGUACUCUCCAAUCAUGUUGAACUUGCUGGACUUCCGGUUUUUCGUGUUAAGUAAAGCUUUCAUGCUUAAAUCCCUAUCUGGAUUCUAUCUUUUUGGGAUAAAUAAAGUUCUUUUAUUUCCAAGUUCUGCUAGAUAUAGUGAACAUGAGCUUUCCAUUCUUGCCAUUUACCACGAAGGAAAAUUGGGUUAUUGGAAAUAUGGAGAUGAGAGUUGGACGCUUUUAGAUGAUAAGAAUUUUCAAUAUGAUGACAUUAUUGAAUAUAAGGGCCAAUUUUAUGU